UUGGUUUCUGUCUCUCUUUUUUCUUUUGAUCCAUUUCCAUGGUAUGCUAUGUGGUUUUCGAGGGAAAAAUUAAAAAAACCCAUUUGCCCACUAUUGAUUGUAAUUGAUUCUUGAAUUCAAAAUCUUUGGUUUCUGGGAGGGUAUUGAAAAUACCCAUAUUGCUGUUUGCCAAAUCUCCAAUGCGGUCUUUGAGUAGACCACAAAGACAAGAAUAUAGCAUCAGUAGGAACACAACCCAGAAAAGAAAUAGUAGUGGUGGAUCUCAGGAAGGAAUAGAAAGAUUGGAUAACAACGGGCGUGGAUCUGAUGGUGGGUGGGGCAUUAUUGGGAUUGGAAGGAGUCAAGCAGCUG
rnacentral:misc_RNA from 1 species